rnacentral:rRNA from 1 species
UACGAAGGGGGCGAGCGUUGUUCGGAAUUACUGGGCGUAAAGGGCGCGUAGGCGGCGACCCAAGUCAGAUGUGAAAGUCCUGGGCUUAACCUGGGGACUGCAUUUGAUACUGGGUUGCUUGAAUUCGGGAGAGGAUAGCGGAAUUCCCAGUGUAGAGGUGAAAUUCGUAGAUAUUGGGAAGAACACCGGUGGCGAAGGCGGCGAGCUGGUCCAUUACUGACGCUGAGGCGCGACAGCGUGGGGAGCAAACAGG